rnacentral:rRNA from 1 species
CCUACGGGAGGCAGCAGUGGGGAAUUUUGCGCAAUGGGCGAAAGCCUGACACAGCAACGCCGCGUGCGGGAAGAAGGCCUUCGGGUCGUAAACCGCUUUCAGCAGGAACGAAAAUGACGGUACCUGCAGAAGAAGGUGCGGCCAACUACGUGCCAGCAGCCGCGGUGACACGUAGGCACCAAGCGUUGUCCGGAUUUAUUGGGCGUAAAGAGCUCGUAGGCGGUUCAGCAAGUCGGGUGUGAAAACUCUGGGCUUAACCCAGAGCCUGCACUCGAAACUGCUGUGACUAGAGUUCGGUAGGGGAGCGGGGAAUUCCUGGUGUAGCGGUGAAAUGCGCAGAUAUCAGGAGGAACACCAAUGGCGAAGGCACCACUCUGGGCCGAGACUGACGCUGAGGAGCGAAAGCGUGGGUAGCAAACAGGAUUAGAUACCCUGGUAGUCCACGCCGUAAACGGUGGGCACUAGGUGUGGGUUCCAACCAACGGAAUCCGCGCCGUCGCUAACGCAUUAAGUGCCCCGCCUGGGGAGUACGGCCGCAAGGUUAAAACUCAAAGGAAUUGACGG